rnacentral:rRNA from 1 species
UACGUAGGUGGCAAGCGUUGUCCGGAAUUAUUGGGCGUAAAGCGCGCGCAGGCGGUUCUUUAAGUCUGAUGUGAAAGCCCACGGCUCAACCGUGGAGUGUCAUUGGAAACUGGGGAACUUGAGUGCAGAAGAGGAGAGCGGAAUUCCACGUGUAGCGGUGAAAUGCGUAGAGAUGUGGAGGAACACCAGUGGCGAAGGCGGCUCUCUGGUCUGUAACUGACGCUGAGGCGCGAAAGCGUGGGGAGCGAACAGG